CAGGUUCCCAAAACAUAUUUAGGUAUGUUUGUUGGUUCAUUAUGUGCCCUGAUGGGUGUAUUAACUAUUGCAUUACCAGUGCCCG
rfam:Onchocerca flexuosa genome assembly, scaffold: OFLC_contig0000050